rnacentral:sRNA from 1 species
GCCACACGCCGUUUUAAGAGAAACCUGAGCGUUGGGGAAGCAGGUCCUGGGGACCAAGGUGGACGCGGAGCGGGAUGGUGUGAAGGUGCCCACCACGCUGGCUGAGUACUGCGUGAAGACCAAGGCGCCGGCGCCCGAUGAGGGCUCGGACCUCUUCUACGACGACUACUACGAGGACGGCGAGGUGGAGGAGGAGGCCGACAGCUGCUUCGGGGACGAUGAGGAUGACUCUGGCACGGAGGAGUCAUGACACCACCAGAAUAAACUUGCAGAGUUUACCUCACUAGGGCCGGACCCGUGGCUCCUUGACGACAGACUACCUCACGGAGGUUUUGUGCUGGUCCCCGUCUCCUCUGGU